AUACGUAGCCGACCUGAGAGGGUGAUCGGCCACACUGGAACUGAGACACGGUCCAGACUCCUACGGGAGGCAGCAGUAGGGAAUCUUCCGCAAUGGGCGAAAGCCUGACGGAGCAACGCCGCGUGAGUGAUGAAGGUCUUCGGAUCGUAAAACUCUGUUAUCAGGGAAGAACAAAUGUGUAAGUAACUGUGCACAUCUUGACGGUACCUGAUCAGAAAGCCACGGCUAACUACGUGCCAGCAGCCGCGGUAAUACGUAGGUGGCAAGCGUUAUCCGGAAUUAUUGGGCGUAAAGCGCGCGUAGGCGGUUUUUUAAGUCUGAUGUGAAAGCCCACGGCUCAACCGUGGAGGGUCAUUGGAAACUGGAAAACUUGAGUGCAGAAGAGGAAAGUGGAAUUCCAUGUGUAGCGGUGAAAUGCGCAGAGAUAUGGAGGAACACCAGUGGCGAAGGCGACUUUCUGGUCUGUAACUGACGCUGAUGUGCGAAAGCGUGGGGAUCAA
rnacentral:rRNA from 1 species